UGAAUACGAGACGCUAAGGCGUCGAAGUAGUGUAUGUCAUACUUCCAAGAAAAGCUUGCACUGUCAUAGAUAAAAAACGCCUGUACCAUAACCGACACAGGUGGGUAGGUAGAGUAUACUAAGGGGCGCGAGAUAACUCUCUCUAAGGAACUCGGCAAAAUAACUCCGUAACUUCGGGAGAAGGAGUGCCUUAUUCGUAAGGUUGCAAUAACAAGAUCCAAGCAACUGUUUAUCAAAAACACAGGUCUCCGCUAAGUCGUAAGACGAUGUAUGGGGGCUGACGCCUGCCCAGUGCCAGAAGGUUAAAGAAGUUGGUUAGCAAUUGCGAAGCUGAUAACUGAAGCCCUGGUGAACGGCGGCCGUAACAAUAACGGUCCUAAGGUAGCGAAAUUCCUUGUCGGGUAAGUUCCGACCCGCACGAAAGGCGUAAUGAUUUGGAUACUGUCUCGGAGAGGGGCUCGGUGAAAUAGACUUGUCUGUGAAGAUGCGGACUACCUGCACCAGGACAGAAAGACCCUAUGAAGCUUUACUGUAACUUGAAGUUGAAAUUGGACUUUAUUCGCGCAGUAUAGGUGGGAGGCGUUGAUUAUAAUCUUGUGGGAUUAUUGGAGCCAUCAGUGAGAUACCACUCUUGUAAUGUUAGAUUUCUAACUUUGAAUCAUUAUCUGGUCAAAGAACAGUUUCAGGCGGGCAGUUUGACUGGGGCGGUCGCCUCCUAAACGGUAACGGAGGCGUACAAAGGUUUCCUCUGAACGGUUAGAAAUCGUAUCUAGAGUGUAAAGGCAUAAGGAAGCUUGACUGUGAGACCUACAAGUCGAGCAGGGACGAAAGUCGGUCUUAGUGAUCUGACGGUACUGAGUGGAAAGGCCGUCACUCAACGGAUAAAAGUUACUCUAGGAUAACAGGCUGAUCUCCCCCAAGAGUUCACAUCGACGGGGAGGUUUGGCACCUCGAUGUCGGCUCAUCGCAUCCUGGGGCGGUAGUACGUCCCAAGGGUUGGGCUGUUCGCCCAUGAAAGCGGUACGCGAGCUGGGUUCAGAACGUCGUGAGACAGUUCGGUCCAUAUCCGGUGUAGGCGUUAGAAUAUUGAGAGGAGCCUUCUUUAGUACGAGAGGACCGAGAAGGACAUACCUCUGGUGUACCAGUUAUCGUGCCAACGGUAAACGCUGGGUAGCUAUGUAUGGAGUGGAUAACCGCUGAAAGCAUCUAAGUGGGAAGCCCACCUCAAGAUAAGUAUUCUCAUC
rnacentral:rRNA from 1 species